rnacentral:misc_RNA from 1 species
GUUGCAGAUCUUCGUCGUACAGCAUCUGCAGUUGUGUGAUAGUCCAGCUGUUAUCAGAGUAUGAUGAUUACCCUGAAAGGGAACCACAUUCAGACAUCCCCUUCCGCUGAUGCAUGGUCAAUUCUUGUUGCUUACACAUUGGCAUCCUUUAGGGCUUGGAACUGUUUUAUGGAAUCUUUCUUUUAGGAGAGGAACAAUCUCUUCCUUAGAAUUCUGCC